rnacentral:lncRNA from 1 species
GGCUCUGAGACACAGAGCAGGGAGUCAGUGGGGACACAGCUCCUCUGUUCUGCUGGGAGGGAAGGUGAGAAUAAUUGGUACUGGGAGAUCUAAGUUUAUAAGUGGUGGGAGGAAGUUCACGGAGUUCUUACUGACAAUCACCAUUUAUCUGAAGGAGGAGUGCCAGUUAAGAGGUGAUUACAAGAAGUCUCAAGAACCUGUGCUGAUGAAUUUGGGAACAAAGCAGGGUACUCAGGUGAUGCUGUAAUCAGUUGACCCAAGUUAAAGAUCAUAGCAGGUAUUGCAAGGAUGGAGAUAUCCUGUCAUUCUUUCCCAGAAGUUGGUCACAAACCCAGGCUGGUCCAACAAGACAUUCUCUCUCAAGACCCCAAUCUUGAGUACAGUGGCUACAUUGUGGAAACUGCACCACAUAUCCACUCCAGGAAACAGGGUCAAGAGAAAAGGAUUGGGUCCAUGCUGCCUUCACACCAGAUCUAUCCUGGUUCCUGCUCUUGGCCCUCUAAAGUGACCUCAUCUUCCUAUUCAUUAUGCAAAUUUUUGACAUCCCUCCAGUGUAGAAGCUUCAUGUAUAAGGUUAACAAACGGUUUCUGCCUUACAAAGAAUCAUGGCCCAAACUCAAGUCCACUUGUGAAGAUGUUUUGGAGUUCCAUGCUGCCUCUGCUUCAGCAUCAUUGAACAUUGUGAAGGUGAGAAAUGGAAGUCACAAACCAGCCUUGGAAUGUAGGUCAGUGACAGAGUGCCUGCCAGUGUGCACAGAGCAUCGUGUUCCAUCCUGACACCCUGAGAAGGACAGACAGACAGAUAGAUAGACAUAGAGACAGAAUGAGAAAAGAUAGAUGUAAAUCUACCUAACCAUGAGUAGAAUGUGGAUUUAAAACUAAACAACUACUUAUAAAAGGCAAAAAACUGCAAGAAAAGACAGUAAAUCCUGACUCUUAAAGACAGAUCCAUGCUCCAUUUUUCCUAAUUUUUCUAUAUUCGAAAAUCACGUGUGACACAGUAUAUUAAUAAUAGAUACAAACUUAUAGUGGGGAAAACAUGAAUCAAGGGAAGGAAAUCUUGUUUUCGUAUUAAGACAAUACAGAACCAUGACCUACUUCCAUAGUUACAAAUGUAGUCCUGGCUUCUUUGUUCCAAAUUUCUAGUUCAAUUUCCUGCCAGGGUUCUUAAUGCACAGUAGCAAGGUCAGCGCUUAAUCAGCUCUUAAUCACCGUUUUGUGGAGCUGCGAUAGCGUGGGAUCUGGCAAUCAUCUCUCCGUGAGAGCGACCACUCUGCCACAUAUUUCAGGAUGAAGGAUGACUCACUCCAGUGCAGGCUUGCUGGUGGGGAGGGACAGAAGGUCCAAUGGUAAACAGUGGGAGCCAUGUCCACAGGAGCUCGCUGGAGUGAAAGGCCAGCUUUUAUCCACAGAGGGGUUUUAAAGCUUAAGAAGAACAUUUCCUUCUUUUAGGUUGAUUCAUUCUAAAUUAAGAAUUCAUUUGGAAAUGGAAAAAGACAAAGAAAACUGUGUCUACUGCGAUGCCUAAGAACAAUCUGGACACUGGUAGGAAAGAGCUGUGCUAUCUGACUUUUGUGUUUAAUUCAUUCUAGUGUGCAUGAAGCAGGAGGCCACCAGUACCUUCCUUUCCAUGUAUGUUGGAUUCCUGAUGCUGUUCUAAUAAAUCACUCCAAUUUCAGUGACA